rnacentral:rRNA from 1 species
GGGUUGUGAGGUUAAGCGACUAAGCGUACACGGUGGAUGCCCUGGCAGUCAGAGGCGAUGAAGGACGUGCUAAUCUGCGAUAAGCGUCGGUAAGGUGAUAUGAACCGUUAUAACCGGCGAUUUCCGAAUGGGGAAACCCAGUGUGUUUCGACACACUAUCAUUAACUGAAUCCAUAGGUUAAUGAGGCGAACCGGGGGAACUGAAACAUCUAAGUACCCCGAGGAAAAGAAAUCAACCGAGAUUCCCCCAGUAGCGGCGAGCGAACGGGGAGGAGCCCAGAGCCUGAAUCAGUGUGUGUGUUAGUGGAAGCGUCUGGAAAGGCGCGCGAUACAGGGUGACAGCCCCGUACACAAAAAUGCACAUGCUGUGAGCUCGAUGAGUAGGGCGGGACACGUGGUAUCCUGUCUGAAUAUGGGGGGACCAUCCUCCAAGGCUAAAUACUCCUGACUGACCGAUAGUGAACCAGUACCGUGAGGGAAAGGCGAAAAGAACCCCGGCGAGGGGAGUGAAAAAGAACCUGAAACCGUGUACGUACAAGCAGUGGGAGCACAGAGCAAUCUGUGUGACUGCGUACCUUUUGUAUAAUGGGUCAGCGACUUAUAUUCUGUAGCAAGGUUAACCGAAUAGGGGAGCCGAAGGGAAACCGAGUCUUAACUGGGCGUUAAGUUGCAGGGUAUAGACCCGAAACCCGGUGAUCUAGCCAUGGGCAGGUUGAAGGUUGGGUAACACUAACUGGAGGACCGAACCGACUAAUGUUGAAAAAUUAGCGGAUGACUUGUGGCUGGGGGUGAAAGGCCAAUCAAACCGGGAGAUAGCUGGUUCUCCCCGAAAGCUAUUUAGGUAGCGCCUCGUGAAUUCAUCUCCGGGGGUAGAGCACUGUUUCGGCAAGGGGGUCAUCCCGACUUACCAACCCGAUGCAAACUGCGAAUACCGGAGAAUGUUAUCACGGGAGACACACGGCGGGUGCUAACGUCCGUCGUGAAGAGGGAAACAACCCAGACCGCCAGCUAAGGUCCCAAAGUCAUGGUUAAGUGGGAAACGAUGUGGGAAGGCCCAGACAGCCAGGAUGUUGGCUUAGAAGCAGCCAUCAUUUAAAGAAAGCGUAAUAGCUCACUGGUCGAGUCGGCCUGCGCGGAAGAUGUAACGGGGCUAAACCAUGCACCGAAGCUGCGGCAGCGACGCUGAUGCGUUGUUGGGUAGGGGAGCGUUCUGUAAGCCUGUGAAGGUGUGCUGUGAGGCAUGCUGGAGGUAUCAGAAGUGCGAAUGCUGACAUAAGUAACGAUAAAGCGGGUGAAAAGCCCGCUCGCCGGAAGACCAAGGGUUCCUGUCCAACGUUAAUCGGGGCAGGGUGAGUCGACCCCUAAGGCGAGGCCGAAAGGCGUAGUCGAUGGGAAACAGGUUAAUA